UACGAAGGGGGCUAGCGUUGCUCGGAAUCACUGGGCGUAAAGGGUGCGUAGGCGGGUCUUUAAGUCAGGGGGUGAAAUCCUGGAGCUCAACUCCAGAACUGCCUUUGAUACUGAAGAUCUUGAGUCCGGGAGAGGUGAGUGGAACUGCGAGUGUAGAGGUGAAAUUCGUAGAUAUUCGCAAGAACACCAGUGGCGAAGGCGGCUUACUGGUCCGGUACUGACGCUGAGGUGCGAAAGCGUGGGGAGCAAACAGG
rnacentral:rRNA from 1 species